GGAAGUUUCUCUCUCUAUCGGGUUCUUCAUUUAACAUGAUCCAUGCUUCCCCUUCGCACCCUUCUCCUCUAUCUCCUCCUCCUCCUCUUAUUCCACCAUGCCAUUGAGAAUUCCUCACCACCUUCUUAUUUCCACCAUUCUUUGCCUCUCUCUCCUCUUCUUGUUCUUGUUUCAUGAAUAUUUCCACAACUACUCCAAGAUUUCCACCACAAACAUUCACAAAGAAAGCAUAAGAUCUUAUUCAUCAUCGCUUUCUCAUCAUCAUCAGCGUCUCCCUAAUACGAUCAGCAGAAAAGUGUUAGCAAGCAAAUUUGACUUCACUUCAUUUGUACAUCCUCACCAACAACGCCAAAGGUCAUCAAAAACUUUACCGGAUGAUCAUCAUCACAUGCAAGCACAAUCGGAGCCCUCGGCCGAUGAUCCGAUGGAGAUUGAUCCACGUUAUGGUGUUGAAAAGCGACGCGUUCCCACCGGUCCAAACCCUUUGCACCAUUGAUCAUAUCAGCUUUAAUUUCUCAGGUGAUCAAGUACUGUACAUGGAGUGAAGGAAAGAUAAAUAUACAGAAAAAGAAAGAUUUAUACUAAUAUUAUCAAAGCGUUUAUUAUUACUUACAUAUGAUGUUUUCCCCACUAUUUCAAUUUGUCUUGUCGAGAAAACAGAGAACCAUAAUGUAGGAGCUUGAGGGGUAAUUUUUUGGUGUACUUAAAAUAUGGUCAUGUGAUAUUAUUUUCUAUUUAGAUUAUGAUAUGUAGAUUUGUUUUUUAUUUAUUAAUAAACUUUAAAAAUAAGACAUAUUAAUUAUUUUGUCGACUCUUAUUAUAACAUAUAGAAUAAUACACUACGUAUUUAUAUUCCCCGUAGUUAUAAAAUUUAAAGAGUUGUUUUGAUAUAAAUUUAUCGAGUUUUUGGGGGUUGUACAUUCAUGUAUGAAGGGAUGGUCGAUUGUCGACACUAUAAUUGUUUUCAUAAUGAAAAGGAAGAAUGAAUUAAUACUCCAGUUUAUGGGCAUGAUUACUAUGAUAUCUUGUAAAUGUUUUUACAAUUUUAUGUAAAUCGAUCGAUUGCAAGGAAACAUGAGUAGCUGUGACGGCACGGCACGCUUUGAGAAGAUAUUUGUCUAGCAUUUUCUAGAUGGAUUUUUAGUGUGUCCGUAUUACGUGAUCUGUAGAUCACAUGUUAUUAUACAAGUUAAAGAACAUUUGAAAAUAGAACUUUCCUCUACUUAUAUAACGAUAAUAUCGUAUACUACACAUGUUCCGGACACAAUAAAAACAUUCUCCAUUUGCUAUAGCUAACACCAUCCAUAACCGUUAAUUAAGAUAUAAUUAAUUAAUUAAUGAGGAUGGUUAGUGUAAAAGCUUUUUCUUUCUUUGCAUUGCAGAUUGAUUAAGCUCUGCAUUGUAGGUCGACCAACAUAUGAUGGGUUUGGUGCCACUUAUUUGCCACACCUCUUUUAGAAUUUGGAUACGGGAAAAGAUCCUCUCCGGAUCUCUCCCACCAAAU
rnacentral:lncRNA from 1 species